rnacentral:rRNA from 1 species
GGGUUGUGAGGUUAAGCGACUAAGCGUACACGGUGGAUGCCCUGGCAGUCAGAGGCGAUGAAGGACGUGCUAAUCUGCGAUAAGCGUCGGUAAGGUGAUAUGAACCGUUAUAACCGGCGAUUUCCGAAUGGGGAAACCCAGUGUGAUUCGUCACACUAUCAUUAACUGAAUCCAUAGGUUAAUGAGGCGAACCGGGGGAACUGAAACAUCUAAGUACCCCGAGGAAAAGAAAUCAACCGAGAUUCCCCCAGUAGCGGCGAGCGAACGGGGAGCAGCCCAGAGCCUGAAUCAGUGUGUGUGUUAGUGGAAGCGUCUGGAAAGGCGCGC